GAGGAAAGUCCGGGCUCUAAUUAGUGAAAGUAUAGCUGUAUAAAAUACAGUAUAGGUAACUAUAAGGAGAGUGCCACAGAAAUAAACCGCCUAACUCAAAAUUAAUAUGAUAUAGGUAAGGGUGCAAAGGUACAGUAAGAGCGUACCAGAAGUAUGUUUAAAAUACUUGCUAGGCAAACCCCAUAAAAGAGCAAAGUAAUAAAAUUGUACACUCAGAAUAUCUAUCAUAAAUAAAUUGAUUGUACUAAACUUUUUAUAUUCAUUACUGCAAAGAAAUUGUAUGUAAAUACAAACAAAAGAUUAAUAACUACCCUUAAUAAAUUUCAUUUUUAUACACCUUAUAUAAAUCUUAAAAUUAUUAAGAACAAAAUCCGGCUUAU
rnacentral:RNase_P_RNA from 1 species